UACAGAGGGGGCAAGCGUUGUUCGGAAUUACUGGGCGUAAAGGGCGCGUAGGCGGCCUGCUAAGUCGAACGUGAAAUCCCCGGGCUCAACCCGGGAACUGCGUCCGAUACUGGCAGGCUUGAAUCCGGGAGAGGGAUGCGGAAUCCAGGUGUAGCGGUGAAAUGCGUAGAUAUCUGGAGGAACACCGGUGGCGAAGGCGGCAUCCUGGACCGGCAUGACGCUGAGGCGCGAAAGCC
rnacentral:rRNA from 1 species